AUAGUCCCGUACAUGAAAAUCCCUUUUAAGUGAAAUCGAGUAGGUCGGAGCACGUGAAACUUUGACUGAAUAUAGGUGGACCAUCAUCUAAGGCUAAAUACUCCCAACUGACCGAUAGUGAACCAGUACCGUGAGGGAAAGGCGAAAAGAACCCCUGUGAGGGGAGUGAAAUAGAACCUGAAACCAUACGCUUACAAGCGGUCGGAGCGCACAUGUGCGUGACGGCGUGCCUUUUGCAUAAUGAGCCUACGAGUUACCGUUGCUAGCAAGGUUAAGUGAUUAAGUCACGAAUCCGUAGCGAAAGCGAGUCUGAAUAGGGCGUAUAGUAUUUGGUCGUAGACCCGAAACCAGGUGAUCUACCCAUGUCCAGGGUGAAGUUCAGGUAACACUGAAUGGAGGCCCGAACCCACGCACGUUGAAAAGUGCGGGGAUGAGGUGUGGGUAGGGGUGAAAUGCCAAUCGAACCUGGAGAUAGCUGGUUCUCUCCGAAAUAGCUUUAGGGCUAGCCUCAAGGUAAGAGUCUUGGAGGUAGAGCACUGAUUGGACUAGGGGCCCCUACCGGGUUACCGAAUUCAGUCAAACUCCGAAUGCCAAAGACUUAUCCUUGGGAGUCAGACUGCGAGUGAUAAGAUCCGUAGUCGAAAGGGAAACAGCCCAGACCGCCAGCUAAGGUCCCAAAGUAUACGUUAAGUGGAAAAGGAUGUGGAGUUGCUUAGACAACCAGGAUGUUGGCUUAGAAGCAGCCAUCAUUUAAAGAAAGCGUAAUAGCUCACUAGUCGAGUCGGCCUGCGCGGAAGAUGUAACGGGGCUAAGCAAUAUACCGAAGCUGCGGCAG
rnacentral:rRNA from 12 species